GGUUAAGUUAGAAAGGGCGCACGGUGAAUGCCUUGGCACUAGGAGCCGAUGAAGGACGGGACUAACACCGAUAUGCUUCGGGGAGCUGUAAGUGAGCUUUGAUCCGGAGAUUUCCGAAUGGGGAAACCCACUGUUCGUAAUGGAACAGUAUCUUUAUCUGAAUACAUAGGAUAUUGAAGGCAGACCCGGGGAACUGAAACAUCUAAGUACCCGGAGGAAGAGAAAGCAAAUGCGAUUUCCUGAGUAGCGGCGAGCGAAACGGAAUUAGCCCAAACCAAGAGGCUUGCCUCUUGGGGUUGUAGGACACUCUAUACGGAGUUACAAAGGAACGAAGUAAAUGAAGCGACCUGGAAAGGUCCGUCGAAGAAGGUAACAACCCUGUAGUUGAAACUUCGUUCCCUCUUGAGUGGAUCCUGAGUACGGCGGAACACGUGAAAUUCCGUCGGAAGCUGGGAGGACCAUCUCCCAAGGCUAAAUACUACCUAGUGACCGAUAGUGAACCAGUACCGUGAGGGAAAGGUGAAAAGCACCCCGGAAGGGGAGUGAAAGAGAUCCUGAAACCGUGUGCCUACAAGUAGUCAGAGCCCGUUAAUGGGUGAUGGCGUGCCUUUUGUAGAAUGAACCGGCGAGUUACGAUCCCAUGCAAGGUUAAGCUGAUAAGGCGGAGCCGUAGCGAAAGCGAGUCUGAAUAGGGCGUUUAGUAUGUGGUUGUAGACCCGAAACCAGGUGAUCUACCCAUGUCCAGGGUGAAGUUCAGGUAACACUGAAUGGAGGCCCGAACCCACGCACGUUGAAAAGUGCGGGGAUGAGGUGUGGGUAGCGGAGAAAUUCCAAUCGAACCUGGAGAUAGCUGGUUCUCUCCGAAAUAGCUUUAGGGCUAGCCUCAUGUUGUGAGAGUCUUGGAGGUAGAGCACUGAUUGGACUAGGGGCCCCCAACGGGUUACCGAAUUCAGUCAAACUCCGAAUGCCAAAGACUUAUCCAUGGGAGUCAGACUGCGAGUGAUAAGAUCCGUAGUCAAAAGGGAAACAGCCCAGACCACCAGCUAAGGUCCCCAAGUAUACGUUAAGUGGAAAAGGAUGUGGAGUUGCUUAGACAACCAGGAUGUUGGCUUAGAAGCAGCCACCAUUUAAAGAGUGCGUAAUAGCUCACUGGUCGAGUGACUCUGCGCCGAAAAUGUACCGGGGCUAAACGUAUCACCGAAGCUGUGGAUUGACAUCUUUGAUGUCAGUGGUAGGAGAGCGUUCUAAGUGCUGUGAAGUCAGACUGUAAGGACUGGUGGAGCGCUUAGAAGUGAGAAUGCCGGUAUGAGUAGCGAAAGACAAGUGAGAAUCUUGUCCACCGAAUGCCUAAGGUUUCCUGAGGAAGGCUCGUCCGCUCAGGGUUAGUCGGGACCUAAGCCGAGGCUGAAAAGCGUAGGCGAUGGCCAACAGGUUGAUAUUCCUGUACCACCUCCCCGCCGUUUGAGUAAUGGGGGGACGCAGUAGGAUAGGGUAAGCGCGCUGCUGGAUAUGCGCGUUCAAGCAGUUAGGCUGAUGAGUAGGCAAAUCCGCUCAUCAUAAAGGCUGAGCUGUGAUGACGAGGGAAUUAUAGUACCGAAGUUCCUGAUUCCACACUGCCAAGAAAAGCCUCUAGCGAGGCGGGAGGUGCCCGUACCGCAAACCGACACAGGUAGGCGAGGAGAGAAUCCUAAGGUGAUCGAGAGAACUCUCGUUAAGGAACUCGGCAAAAUGACCCCGUAACUUCGGGAGAAGGGGUGCUCUGGUAGGGUGUAUAGCCCGAGAGAGCCGCAGUGAAUAGGCCCAGGCGACUGUUUAGCAAAAACACAGGUCUCUGCGAAGCCGCAAGGCGAAGUAUAGGGGCUGACGCCUGCCCGGUGCUGGAAGGUUAAGAGGAGGGGUUAUCCUUUGGGAGAAGCUCUGAAUCGAAGCCCCAGUAAACGGCGGCCGUAACUAUAACGGUCCUAAGGUAGCGAAAUUCCUUGUCGGGUAAGUUCCGACCCGCACGAAAGGCGUAACGAUCUGGGCACUGUCUCAACGAGAGACUCGGUGAAAUUAUAGUACCUGUGAAGAUGCAGGUUACCCGCGACAGGACGGAAAGACCCCGUGGAGCUUUACUGUAGCCUGAUAUUGAAUUUUGGUACAGCUUGUACAGGAUAGGUAGGAGCCUGAGAAGCCGGAGCGCUAGCUUCGGUGGAGGCGUCGGUGGGAUACUACCCUGGCUGUAUUGAAAUUCUAACCCGCGGCCCUGAUCGGGCCGGGAGACAGUGUCAGGUGGGCAGUUUGACUGGGGCGGUCGCCUCCUAAAAUGUAACGGAGGCGCCCAAAGGUUCCCUCAGAAUGGUUGGAAAUCAUUCGUAGAGUGUAAAGGCACAAGGGAGCUUGACUGCGAGACCUACAAGUCGAGCAGGGACGAAAGUCGGGCUUAGUGAUCCGGUGGUUCCGCAUGGAAGGGCCAUCGCUCAACGGAUAAAAGCUACCCCGGGGAUAACAGGCUUAUCUCCCCCAAGAGUCCACAUCGACGGGGAGGUUUGGCACCUCGAUGUCGGCUCAUCGCAUCCUGGGGCUGUAGUCGGUCCCAAGGGUUGGGCUGUUCGCCCAUUAAAGCGGUACGCGAGCUGGGUUCAGAACGUCGUGAGACAGUUCGGUCCCUAUCCGUCGUGGGCGUAGGAAAUUUGAGAGGAGCUGUCCUUAGUACGAGAGGACCGGGAUGGACACACCGCUGGUGUACCAGUUGUCUUGCCAAAGGCAUCGCUGGGUAGCUAUGUGUGGACGGGAUAAGUGCUGAAAGCAUCUAAGCAUGAAGCCCCCCUCAAGAUGAGAUUUCCCAUAGCGCAAGCUAGUAAGAUCCCUGAAAGAUGAUCAGGUUGAUAGGUCAGAGGUGGAAGCGUGGCGACAUGUGUAGCUGACUGAUACUAAUCGAUCGAGGACUUAACCAA
rnacentral:rRNA from 1 species